rnacentral:rRNA from 1 species
AGCGAACGCUGGCGGCAGGCCUAACACAUGCAAGUCGAACGAACCCUUCGGGGUUAGUGGCGGACGGGUGAGUAACACGUGGGAACGUGCCUUUAGGUUCGGAAUAACUCAGGGAAACUUGUGCUAAUACCGAAUGUGCCCUUCGGGGGAAAGAUUUAUCGCCUUUAGAGCGGCCCGCGUCUGAUUAGCUAGUUGGUGAGGUAAUGGCUCACCAAGGCUACGAUCAGUAGCUGGUCUGAGAGGAUGACCAGCACAUUGGGACUGAGACACGGCCCAAACUCCUACGGGAGGCAGCAGUGGGGAAUCUUGCGCAAUGGGCGAAAGCCUGACGCAGCCAUGCCGCGUGGAUGAUAAAGGUCUUAGGAUUGUAAAAUCCUUUCACCGGUGAAGAUAAUGACUGUAGCCGGAGAAGAAGCCCCGGCUAACUUCGUGCCAGCCGCCGCCGUAAUAC